UACAGAGGUCUCAAGCGUUGUUCGGAUUCAUUGGGCGUAAAGCGGGUGUAGGCGGCUUCGUAAGUCAGUUGUGAAAGCCCCAAGUUCAACUUGGGAAGUGCUUCUGAUACUGUGAGGCUGGAGUAUUGGAGAGGGUAGUAGAAUUCCUGGUGUAGUGGUGAAAUACGUAGAUAUCAGGAGGAAUACCGGUGGCGAAGGCGGCUACCUGGCCAAAUACUGACGCUGAGACCCGAAAGCGUGGGGAUCAAACAGG
rnacentral:rRNA from 1 species